GGGUAUAGCUCAGUGGUAGAGCACAUGCUUAGCAUGCACACGGUCCUGGGUUCAAUCCCCAGUACAACCA
rnacentral:tRNA from 1 species